rnacentral:tRNA from 1 species
AGGUCCCUAGCUCAACCGGAAGAGCACUCGGCUCUUAACCGAGGGGUUUCGGGUUCAAGUCCCGAGGGACCUACCA